UCUUACCAUUUAUGCCAGAAAAACGGCGGUUGAAAUUGUUUGUGUUGAUAGAAGAAACAUUUUCCGAUUUCGUUCCAUGAAACAGCUGCUUCUCGUUUGCUUCCAUUCCCAUCGACUCUUUUUUACUAAUAUACAUUUUGUAUAAACGAGGAUUUUGAAUUCUUUCGAUCUUUUGGACUAUUACUGAGUCGAUUGCAGAACCAAAGAGAUUAAUGACUUUCUGGUAUUCAAUCGAUGAACUAGACAAAUCGACUAGGUGGACAUCUUCAUCUAUAGGUUGUGGUUUCCACGAUCUGGGUAGAACUGAA